rnacentral:snRNA from 1 species
UAAGUGGGAGCUUCGGCGCAAGUGAAAUAC